CUACGGGUCGCUCCAGUAAGGAAUAUUGCGCAAUGGAGGCAACUCUGACGCAGCCAUGCCGCGUGCAGGAAGAAGGCCUUAUGGGCCGUAAACUGCUUUUAUUUAGGAAUAAACCCCCGAACGUGUUCGGGGCUGAAGGUACUAAACGAAUAAGCACCGGCUAACUCCAUGCCAGCAGCCGCGGUAAUACGGAGGGUGCAAGCGUUAUCCGGAUUUAUUGGGUUUAAAGGGUGCGCAGGCGGGCUAUUAAGUCAGUGGUGAAAUCCCGGGGCUCAACUCCGGAACUGCCAUUGAUACUGGUAGUCUUGAGUUUGGUUGAAGUGGGCGGAAUGUAGCAUGUAGCGGUGAAAUGCAUAGAUAUGCUACAGAACACCAAUCGCGAAGGCAGCUCACUAAGCCAAAACUGACGCUCAUGCACGAAAGCGUGGGGAUCAAACAGGAUUAGAUACCCGAGUAGUC
rnacentral:rRNA from 1 species